rnacentral:rRNA from 1 species
GACGAACGCUGGCGGCGUGCUUAACACAUGCAAGUCGAACGGAAAGGCCCCUUUGGGGGUACUCGAGUGGCGAACGGGCGAGUAACACGUGAGUAACCUGCCCUUGACUUCGGGAUAACUUCCGGAAACUGGGGCUAAUACCGGCUAGGAAUCCUUGCUGCAUGGUGGGGGUUGGAAAGCUUCGGCGGUUUUGGAUGGACUCGCGGCCUAUCUGCUUGUUGGUGGGGUAGUGGCUUACCAAGGGUUUGACGGGUAGCCGGCCUGAGAGGGCGACCGGCCACAUUGGGACUGAGAUACGGCCCAGACUCCUACGGGGGGCAGCAGUGGGGAAUAUUGCACAAUGGGCGGAAGCCUGAUGCAGCAACGCCGCGUGCGGGAUGACGGCCUUCGGGUUGUAAACCGCUUUCAGCAGGGGCGAAGCUUGUGGUGACGGUACCUGCAGAAGAAGCACCGGCUAACUACGUG